GACCGUUGAUCAGAACAUUAACAAAUUUCAAAACAAUCACAACCGUUCCUUUCCUCUCACAAGAACCUCAACUCGCCGGGACUCCGCCGGAGAACACUACCCCACUACCCCCGAAUCCAUCCUCCGGUAGCCCACUCUACAAUGAAAACUGGAGAUCCCCAUUUGCAGCUACCUCACAAUCUGUAUCUUCUUCCGUUGUACCCUUGGGGUUCUUACGCCAAUCGCCUGCUGCGCGUAUGCAGGCAAUGUCGG
rnacentral:misc_RNA from 1 species